rnacentral:tRNA from 1 species
GCCGAGAUCGCAUAACUUGGUAUUGCAGCGGAUUGCUAAUCCGCGCCCUUCGGGGCUUCUGGGUUCAAAUCCCAGUCUCGGCG